UAAUUUGAUGUUGGGUUUUGGGUCUGGC
rnacentral:piRNA from 1 species